UGUUGUGCGCAUCAUAGGAGUUUAGGAACGCUAUUAUGAACGCAAGCAGUGAAUUUCAGCUGUAAAGCGAAACGAAGCAGACUCGCCAAUAAUUGUCAUUAUAGGAAGAAUCUUCCUAUGACAAAUAAUGCAAGCAGAACAUGUUGGCGUGACAUAAGU